CGACGCUGGCGGCGUGCCUAAUACAUGCAAGUCGAACGAACUCUGGUAUUGAUUGGUGCUUGCAUCAUGAUUUACAUUUGAGUGAGUGGCGAACUGGUGAGUAACACGUGGGAAACCUGCCCAGAAGCGGGGGAUAACACCUGGAAACAGAUGCUAAUACCGCAUAACAACUUGGACCGCAUGGUCCGAGUUUGAAAGAUGGCUUCGGCUAUCACUUUUGGAUGGUCCCGCGGCGUAUUAGCUAGAUGGUGGGGUAACGGCUCACCAUGGCAAUGAUACGUAGCCGACCUGAGAGGGUAAUCGGCCACAUUGGGACUGAGACACGGCCCAAACUCCUACGGGAGGCAGCAGUAGGGAAUCUUCCACAAUGGACGAAAGUCUGAUGGAGCAACGCCGCGUGAGUGAAGAAGGGUUUCGGCUCGUAAAACUCUGUUGUUAAAGAAGAACAUAUCUGAGAGUAACUGUUCAGGUAUUGACGGUAUUUAACCAGAAAGCCACGGCUAACUACGUGCCAGCAGCCGCGGUAAUACGUAGGUGGCAAGCGUUGUCCGGAUUUAUUGGGCGUAAAGCGAGCGCAGGCGGUUUUUUAAGUCUGAUGUGAAAGCCUUCGGCUCAACCGAAGAAGUGCAUCGGAAACUGGGAAACUUGAGUGCAGAAGAGGACAGUGGAACUCCAUGUGUAGCGGUGAAAUGCGUAGAUAUAUGGAAGAACACCAGUGGCGAAGGCGGCUGUCUGGUCUGUAACUGACGCUGAGGCUCGAAAGUAUGGGUAGCAAACAGGAUUAGAUACCCUGGUAGUCCAUACCGUAAACGAUGAAUGCUAAGUGUUGGAGGGUUUCCGCCCUUCAGUGCUGCAGCUAACGCAUUAAGCAUUCCGCCUGGGGAGUACGGCCGCAAGGCUGAAACUCAAAGGAAUUGACGGGGGCCCGCACAAGCGGUGGAGCAUGUGGUUUAAUUCGAAGCUACGCGAAGAACCUUACCAGGUCUUGACAUACUAUGCAAAUCUAAGAGAUUAGACGUUCCCUUCGGGGACAUGGAUACAGGUGGUGCAUGGUUGUCGUCAGCUCGUGUCGUGAGAUGUUGGGUUAAGUCCCGCAACGAGCGCAACCCUUAUUAUCAGUUGCCAGCAUUAAGUUGGGCACUCUGGUGAGACUGCCGGUGACAAACCGGAGGAAGGUGGGGAUGACGUCAAAUCAUCAUGCCCCUUAUGACCUGGGCUACACACGUGCUACAAUGGAUGGUACAACGAGUUGCGAACUCGCGAGAGUAAGCUAAUCUCUUAAAGCCAUUCUCAGUUCGGAUUGUAGGCUGCAACUCGCCUACAUGAAGUCGGAAUCGCUAGUAAUCGCGGAUCAGCAUGCCGCG
rnacentral:rRNA from 2 species